rnacentral:rRNA from 1 species
UACAGGGGGGGCAAGCGUUGUUCGGAAUUACUGGGCGUAAAGGGUUCGUAGGUGGCCAACUAAGUCAUACGUGAAAUCCCUCAGCUUAACUGGGGAACUGCGCCUGAUACUGGUUGGCUUGAGUGCAGGAGAGGAACGCGGAAUUCCAGGUGUAGCGGUGAAAUGCGUAGAUAUCUGGAGGAACACCGGUGGCGAAGGCGGGUCUCUGGGCCGAUACUGACGCUGAGGAGCGAAAGCGUGGGGAGCGAACAGG